rnacentral:rRNA from 1 species
UACGGAGGGUGCGAGCGUUGUCCGGAUUUAUUGGGUUUAAAGGGUGCGUAGGUGGCUUUAUAAGUCAGUGGUGAAAUACAGCCGCUCAACGGUUGAGGUGCCAUUGAUACUGUAGAGCUUGAAAUAAUUGGAGGCUGCCGGAAUGGAUGGUGUAGCGGUGAAAUGCAUAGAUAUCAUCCAGAACACCGAUUGCGAAGGCAGGUGGCUACGAUUUAUUUGACACUGAGGCACGAAAGCAUGGGGGAGCAAACAGG